GAUGAACGCUAGCUACAGGCUUAACACAUGCAAGUCGAGGGGCAGCAUUAGGUAGCAAUACUGAGAUGGCGACCGGCGCACGGGUGCGUAACGCGUAUCCAACCUUCCCGUUACUCAUGGAUAGCCUUCCGAAAGGGAGAUUAAUACAUGAUGGUGUUGAAAUUCCGCAUGUUAUUUCAACUAAAGAUUUAUCGGUAACGGAUGGGGAUGCGUGACAUUAGAUAGUAGGCGGGGUAACGGCCCACCUAGUCUACGAUGUCUAGGGGUUCUGAGAGGAAGGUCCCCCACACUGGAACUGAGACACGGUCCAGACUCCUACGGGAGGCAGCAGUGAGGAAUAUUGGUCAAUGGCCGGAAGGCUGAACCAGCCAAGUAGCGUGAAGGAUGAAGGUUCUAUGGAUUGUAAACUUCUUUUAUACGGGAAUAAAACCUCCCACGUGUGGGAGCUUGUAUGUACCGUAUGAAUAAGCAUCGGCUAACUCCGUGCCAGCAGCCGCGGUAAGAC
rnacentral:rRNA from 1 species